AUCCAGCUGACGAGUCCCAAAAUAGGACGAAAAGCGCGUCCUGGAU
rnacentral:hammerhead_ribozyme from 1 species